rnacentral:rRNA from 1 species
GAUGAACGCUGGCGGCGUGCUUAACACAUGCAAGUCGAACGGAAAGGCUCCUGCUUGCAGGGGUACUCGAGUGGCGAACGGGUGAGUAACACGUGGGUGAUCUGCCCUUCACUUCGGGAUAAGCCUGGGAAACUGGGUCUAAUACCGGAUAGGACGAUGGUUUGGAUGCCAUUGUGGAAAGUUUUUUCGGUGUGGGAUGAGCUCGCGGCCUAUCAGCUUGUUGGUGGGGUAAUGGCCUACCAAGGCGUCGACGGGUAGCCGGCCUGAGAGGGUGUACGGCCACAUUGGGACUGAGAUACGGCCCAGACUCCUACGGGAGGCAGCAGUGGGGAAUAUUGCACAAUGGGCGCAAGCCUGAUGCAGCGACGCCGCGUGGGGGAUGACGGCCUUCGGGUUGUAAACUCCUUUCGCUAGGGACGAAGCGCACGUGACGGUACCUGGAGAAGAAGCACCGGCUAACUACGUG